AAUUUCUGACAUAAAUUUCUUCUGGUGAGAUAUCUGUGCGCUUGCUAUUAUAUUUUCAGUGAACAGAGAAGAGUUAUGUUGACUUCUAUUUCUAUCUUCAGGAAAUCUUAGUUGUUUAUUUUUUGUUCCAGUGCAAGGUGUUUAUGUGAAGAAUUUCUUUCAUAUAAAGGAGUUUUGAAAUUGAUCUUGUAUAUGGACAUUAUAGUGGAUGAACUGAAGAUAUGAAUCACCAGCAGGAAGAUGAUGUGAUAUCGUCUGGCUCUUCAUCACCAGAUUCAAUAUCAUCACACUUUGGUGGAAUGAGUUAUCCCUCAUUGUUCAGUUCCAAGCCAACUACCUAUGGCCCAAAAUUGUUAAAGAUGUCCUGAUGUUAAAGAUGAAAAUGGCCCAAAAUCAAAGCUGAUUGUGAUUUUGUAGUUUUUGAGGAUAAAUCAAAGAAGGGAACAUGUAUUCUUAAAGAUGGCCUGAGUGAUAAUUUUCAGACAAUAAUGAUCGUCACCAUAUCUCUAGCAAAUAGUUAGUAUCACCAUACUGUUAACACUUUGAAGUAUGCUCACCGAACAAAGGAAAUUAAGAUACAUUCAGGUUCAGAUCCUUCAGAAUGAAAAGGAAAAAGUUUUGGAGGAAUCGGUGAGAAGCCUUUGAUGAGAAGUUAGCAUCUGCUCUCGAUGAGUGCAACGCUAAAGAUGAAUUAGUCACAAAGUUCCCAAACAUCGCGGAAGAAGCCAUUGCAGCUCACAAGAAAGCGGAGGCUGAAAUUAUGUGUUUGAAGGAAGAGUUAGAAGAAUGGAAGGCUACCUUAACAGUGCAUUGAAGGAUUGUAUGCAGAAAUGAAGGAAGAGCUGGCUGUUUAUGAACCUAAUAUCAAAUGAUAUCUCCUCCAUAUCAAGCCAUGAAACGAAGAAGGAGCAUCAAAGUGUUUCUACUGAAGCUUGGGCUUGUGCUUAGAUAUUUGAACUAGAGCAUUUCAAGAAUCAUAAGGACCAGAAGAGUAACUCUGAACAGAAAACGAUUGGAGUUUUAGAGAUGAGGCUAAUGGAUGAUUUUGUCAAAAUGGAAAAACUAGCAAUAGUAGCAAAUAUCUUAAAACAGAUGAUGAAUGAAUUCUCUUCAAGCAUAUGAAAUGUGUAUUUUAUGUUUU